rnacentral:lncRNA from 1 species
CCUACCCCAUUUUCUACCAACAACCGCCCCCAGAUCCUCUCGAACAUUCCUCUCUUCUAUGAAAGAAACCCUAGCUGCCUCACUCGAAUCCCAGCCCCAGUCUGAGAUUACAUGGAAAUCUUCCAUAUUUCCUUUCCUUUUUUGCACACACAAUGAUUCUUACCAUCUCCUCGACGUUACAGUGUGUUUGGUAUUGAGUUAUUUAUGGAAGUUAAUCAAUACACGUUCGUUCGACUCUGAUUCUGUAUUAUCACCAUAUUAUUGACUUGAUACAUUCACUGCCAGGUUAUAUGGGUCAGUUUUAGUGAGACCUUUAACUAUUUUGGUUCUCCAUCUUGAAUUAGAGUUUGCCUGAUUUUUCUCCUAAUCCGAUUCUAAAUCAAUUUUGCAUCCUCUUAUUUACUUUAUUAUGUUUGAUUGACUUCGUUUCCUUGUUUGUUCAUUUAAUUUUGCUAUUAUAUAAACCCUUCCCCAAUCCCCCUAAAACAGGCAUGAACUACUACUAUUACUCUCUCACUCUCACUUAUUCUACUAUUCUAAACUUAAGACAUUGGCCGACUGAAAGCCAAGGCCACUAAAAUUCAAUUAUUGCUCUUUUCUCAGUGAGAGCACUGCCCGAGGUUCACUUGAAACCCUUGGAAACUCUGACGCAAUGAGAUUUUGGGAGUCCUGCUAUUCUUUCUCUACUACUGCUAACUGAACUACUAUUGGUACUUAAUUUUCUCCUUUACCUCCUUGUUAAUCUGCAAACUAGUGAGUACCUUGACUCUUGCAAUUCUAUUUUAUUUUGCUUGUGUUCAGUGCUUUGUAUGUCCGUG